CCUACGGGGGGCAGCAGUGGGGAAUAUUGGGCAAUGGACGCAAGUCUGACCCAGCAACGCCGCGUGAAGGAAGAAGGCUUUCGGGUUGUAAACUUCUUUUAAGGGGGAAGAGCAGAAGACGGUACCCCUUGAAUAAGCCACGGCUAACUACGUGCCAGCAGCCGCGGUAAUACGUAGGUGGCAAGCGUUGUCCGGAUUUACUGGGUGUAAAGGGCGUGCAGCCGGAGAGACAAGUCAGAUGUGAAAUCCACGGGCUCAACCCGUGAACUGCAUUUGAAACUGUUUCCCUUGAGUGUCGGAGAGGUAAUCGGAAUUCCUUGUGUAGCGGUGAAAUGCGUAGAUAUAAGGAAGAACACCGAUUGCGAAGGCAGCUUACUAAACUGCCACUGACAUUGAUGCUCGAAAGUGUGGGUAUCAAACAGGAUUAGAUACCCUGGUAGUC
rnacentral:rRNA from 1 species